UUUAUUGUCCCAUAGAAACCCUUCUGUAUGAAUUCUGUUUCUCUUUGAAAUUAUAUAAAUGGCUGUUUAUCUUCGCUGUUAAUUGUUAGUGAUCUUGUCCAAUAUUUCAGAAUGAUCUCAGGUGAAUAUGUCUUAGUUCACUAGCUCACAGCUGUUCUUGAUUUCUGAUUUGAAGGA